rnacentral:rRNA from 1 species
UGCCAGCCGCCGCGGUAAUACGUAAGGGGCAAGCGUUAUCCGGAAUUAUUGGGCGUAAAGCGUCCGCAGGCGGAAACAUAAGUAGGUUAUUAAAUACCGGAGCUCAACUUCGGUGCUGUAAUCUAAACUGUGUUUCUAGAGGAUGGGAGAGGUAUGUGGAAUUGUGCAAGUAGGGGUAAAAUCCGUAGAUAUGCACAGGAACACCAAAAGCGAAGGCAACAUACUGGACCAUUCCUGACGCUCAGGGACGAAAGCGUAGGUAGCAAAACGGAUUAGAUA